UACGUAGGGGGCAAGCGUUGUCCGGAAUUACUGGGCGUAAAGCGCGCGUAGGCGGCUAUUCAAGUCAGAGGUGAAAGCCCGGGGCUCAACCCCGGAACUGCCUUUGAAACUAGAUAGCUAGAAUUUUGGAGAGGCGAGUGGAAUUCCGAGUGUAGAGGUGAAAUUCGUAGAUAUUCGGAAGAACACCAGUGGCGAAGGCGACUCGCUGGACAAGUAUUGACGCUGAGGUGCGAAAGCGUGGGGAGCAAACAGG
rnacentral:rRNA from 1 species